rnacentral:rRNA from 1 species
UGGGGAAUAUUGCGCAAUGGCCGAAAGGUUGACGCAGCGACGCCGCGUGUGGGAGGAAGCCCUUCGGGGUGUAAACCACUGUCAGGGGGGAAGAACUCCGUGGGUGCGAAUACCACUCGCGAAUGACGGUACCCCCAGAGGAAGCGCCGGCUAACUCCGUGCCAGCAGCCGCGGUAAGACGGAGGGCGCAAGCGUUGUUCGGAAUUACUGGGCGUAAAGCGCUCGCAGGCCGUCCCUUAAGUCCGCUGUGAAACUCCGGGGCUCAACCCCGGACUUGCAGCGGAUACUGGGGGACUGGAGACCGGUAGAGGCUAGCGGAAUUCCUGGUGUAGCGGUGGAAUGCGUAGAUAUCAGGAAGAACACCGGUGGCGAAGGCGGCUAGCUGGGCCGGUUCUGACGCUCAUGAGCGAAAGCGUGGGGAGCAAACAGGAUUAGAUACCCCCGUAGUCC